rfam:Acyrthosiphon pisum strain LSR1 Contig26750, whole genome shotgun sequence.
GUUCUUACAAUUGCCGGUUAAGUGUCGAUUAACUUUAACCAGAUGUUGUAAGAACGA